CGGGGAACAAGGAUGAGUUACUAGUUUACAACGCUAAACCCAGUGCCUGGGACCGAGAAAUACUCGAUAUAUGUUAAUUGCUAUUGUAAUGCCGAGUCCGGGCAAGAUACUUAAUUUCCCUGAGCCUCAAUGUCCUUCUCGAUAGAAUGAGGAUGAUGGUGAUGAAGAUCUCUUCCUCAGAGGGGUCUAUGAGCAUUAAAUGAGAUACCUGCAAAGUGCUUAGCUAGCAUUGUCUUAGGCACAUAGCAAAGGCGGGUGUUUUGCCAUCUUUAUUUUUCUGCCACAUCACUCCCUCUCAGUUGCCUCCUGUCUAGCCCAGAAAUUAAGUGGAGGGUGGAUGGAAUAGCCCUGGCUUCCUUAGAAGUAUCUGGAACUGCCUGCUGCCUUUCUGAAGCCAAGGGAAAAACCCUUCUUGCCUUUCUUCUCCACCAGCAGAUUAUUCCAUGGCCUUUCCUUUCUCCGGUGGGAAGAAGAAAAAAGGGCAUUCUACAUUUUCCAUCUUAGAUCAGGCCCAAGUCUAAACUAGAUCCAGCCUGCUGCAAAUUUAGCCUAGAGUGCAUGCCUGUCUUAGCUUUUUUUUUUUUUUUUUUUUUUUGGUAGGAGCCAGAGUCCCUUCACUCCACGGCUUAUCCUCAACCCCCUAAUCCACUUUGUUUACUUUGUUCUGUAUCCAGGGAGAGAUGCCUAAAAAGAUAACACUUUUCAAGGAUCACACUGAAAGGCAGGAGCCUAAUCUGAUGGGAACAUCACAGUCCUCAGCCUGGCUUACCGUUUGACUUUAGGCUAACCAGUGGCUCUCUGUGGUCCUCAUUUUCCCCAUGAGCACAAUGGUGGCUUACUCACCGCCCGCUGGCUGGCUGCUAACUCGAAAGUGAACUUCUGCACACGGCGCUGCCUCUUCUGGAAGAGGAGGGACCCUCUGUUGUUGCGUAGUGACAGCUCCUCCAUCAUCAGGUCCUGGGGCACGCUCAGCUUCUUGCCCAGGUCCAGCGUAGGGACUGCCAGGAAAGGCCAGAGCGGGCUCUCACCACCCCAUCCCCCAUACACUCCAGGCCCCACCUCUCGAAGCAUGGCAUGCUGUGUGUAAGAAUGCCUGUUUCUCACCAAGCUUGCCGACACCGGGUGUCAUGAUUGUUUGAAAUCUUUGCCCACCUGAUGGGCAAAAAUGACACCUCAGAGUUUAAUUUGCAUGUGUUUGUUGCUCAGUGAAGUUUAGCACUGUUUCCGAAGUUCUUUGGCCAUUUGUGUUUAUUGCAUGAAUUCCCCAUGCAGGUCUUUGCCCAUAAUGGUGGAGGUAGUGAGAAAUGGUCAGAUUCUCGAUAUUUUUUAAAGCCAAAUUCAAACUUUCACGUUUGGCCAACAAAGGAAGCCUUUUGCAGGACAGAGGGGACAGAAUGGUGAGGACCUUGGCAGGUGAGAGCCCUGUGUGGGCAGCACGGCCUGCCUAGUCCAUCUCUAAAAUCAGAUACACAUACGUUCAUAUUCCAGCUCCAUAAAUGGUAUUUUAAGCUGGGAGGCUGGAUGAGAUCAUAAAGAAAUGAGAAUAGGUAAAGAGGAUCAGAGACGGAGCCUGGGGCCUCCAACAUUUACAGUGAGGCGGUGAGGAGGAACCAAGCCAGGAGCCUGGGCAGGAGCAGCCCACAACAUAGGAAGAAACUAAAGAGGAUGGCAUCCUGGAAAUAAAUGAUGAAAGCAUUUCAGGUAUGAUAGAGAGACUAACAGAGCCAAGUGCUGCUGAUGUGUCAAGGAAGAUGAGGGCUGAAAAUCCACUAUUAUAUUUAGCAAUACAAGGUCAUUGGUAAUUUUCACUAAAGCAGUUUCUAUGGAGUGUUUGGGUGUGAAAGCCUAACUGGAGAGGGUUCAAGAGAAAAUGGACAGAAGAACAAGUUUAACCACACCAUGAGGAAGCGAUAAGCCAAAUCCAGGACGCAGGACAUUCUACAGGACAACUGGCCUGGUUUUUCAAACAAGUGAGUGACAUGGAAAAAAGGGGCAGAGGGGUUGCUUUAGAUUAAAGGAGAUUUAGGAGCCAUAGCAACCAAAUAAAAACUGUGGCCCUUGUUUGGAUGCUGAUGAAAACAAACUAGAAAACUGAAGAAGGUUGAAUACAGACCGCUUAUUAAAUGGUAUCAAAUCAUUACUGCAAAUUUUGUUCAGUAUGCUAAUAUCUUUGUGGCAUGUAAGGAAAUGCCCUUUUAUUAUUUUGAUGCAUUCUGAAGAAUUUGCGGGGUGAAAUGACAUGCUUUUUGGUAUUAGCUUUGAAAUUUAGGAAUGAAGGAGGGACCAUGUACUCCCUACUUGUAUGUGUCUUUGGAAAUUGACUAAUAAAAUGUCAAAAAGAGAGAAAGAGAGGAUUGGUAAGAACAAUAUAGACAACUGCUUGGAAGAGUUGGGCUUUAAAGGAUCCUGGCUACAGACAGCUAUGGGAUCAAGAGGGGUUUGUUUGUUUGUUUGUAAAAAUGGAGAAAUAACAGCAUGUGCGUUAACUGACGGGAACAUUUGACAAUGCAAUAGAGAGAGGGGAGAAUUGCUGAAGGAAUGUCCUUGAGCAGGAGUGACAGGAGAGCUGGGUUUCCAGAGCCCAGCCAGAGGAAUUGGCACCAGGCAGGUAUGAGGAGAGUCCAUCCACCAUAUCAGAAAGGAAAACCACAAACACGGGUGCAGAUGCAAGCAAGUAGACAGAUGUGGCGGAGGAUGCUUGCAGAUGUUCUCUUCUGGUUACUCUAUUUUUCUCAGUGGAAUAAGAAGCAAGGUCUUUAGCUGAGAAUGAGGUUGUGCAAGGAGGUAUUGGAGGUUUGAGAAGAGGGGUUGCCAAAGUCAUUAAGAGAGUAGCAUGAGAUAGUGAAUGAACUAGGGAGAUGGACAUGGCUACCAGGCAGUACUGGGGGUCACUUGGGUGCUGUGAUUCAUGCCAGUCAAUGGAAUCCUAAAUAGCUGUCUAAAAAGGACACUGAUUUUUUUUUAUUCUUUCAACGGACACAUAAAGGACACUUUUUAUGUGCUAAGAACAGAAAGAAAUCCACUUAUAGGCCGGGCGCAGUGGCUCACACCCAUAAUCCCAGCACUUUGGGAGGCAGAGGAGGGUGGAUCACUUGAGGUCAGGAGUUCAAGACCAACCUGGCCAACAUGGCAAAACCCCUUCUCUACUAAGAAUACAAAAAUUAGCCAGGCAUGGUGGCGUGUGCCUGUAAUUCAGCUACUUGGGAGGCUGAGGCACAAGAAUCACUUGAA
rnacentral:lncRNA from 10 species